rnacentral:rRNA from 1 species
AACGAACGCUGGCGGCGUGGAUAAGACAUGCAAGUCGAACGCUCAUAGCCGGGUAGCAAUAUUCGGUUGUGGGAGUGGCGCAAGGGUGCGUAACACGUGGGUAAUUUGCCGCGAAGUUGG